rnacentral:rRNA from 1 species
CAAUAGCGUAUAUUUAAGUUGUUGCAGUUAAAAAGCUCGUAGUUGGAUUUCGGUUAAGAGCGACCGGUCCGCCGUUUGGAGUGCACUGGUUGGUUUUAACUUCCUGUAGAGGACGUGCUCUGGGUUUAACGACCUGGACUCGGAGUCUACGUGGUUACUUUGAAAAAAUUAGAGUGUUCAAAGCGGGCUUACGCUUGAAUAUUUCAGCAUGGAAUAACACUAUAGGACUCCUGUCCUAUUUCGUUGGUCUCGGGACGGGAGUAAUGAUUAAGAGGAACAGUUGGGGGCAUUCGUAUUUCAUUGUCAGAGGUGAAAUUCUUGGAUUUAUGAAAGACGAACUUCUGCGAAAGCAUUUGCCAAGGAUGUUUUCAUUAA